UUAAAUUUUCUUCAUUUUUUUUUCUAGAAUUUAUCUCAAAUUUUUGUUGUUGAAGGUUGAUGAAAAUAAUAUGAAGAUGAAGAAGAGGAGAAA
rnacentral:pre_miRNA from 1 species